ACAACACUACAACCAGACGGCGCCGUUC
rnacentral:piRNA from 1 species